GGGAAAUUAGCUGAAGUGGUAGAGCGCUCGCUUAGCAUGUGAGAGGUGACGGGAUCGAUGCCCAUAUUCUCCA
rnacentral:tRNA from 1 species